GAUGAACGCUGGCGGCGUGCCUAAUACAUGCAAGUCGAGCGAACAGACGAGGAGCUUGCUCCUCUGAUGUUAGCGGCGGACGGGGGAGUAACACGUGGAUAACCUACCUAUAAGACUGGGAUAACUUCGGGAAACCGGAGCUAAUACCGGAUAACAUGUUGAACCGCAUGGUUCAACAGUGAAAGACGGUCUUGCUGUCACUUAUAGAUGGAUCCGCGCCGCAUUAGCUAGUUGGUAAGGUAACGGCUUACCAAGGCAACGAUGCGUAGCCGACCUGAGAGGGUGAUCGGCCACACUGGAACUGAGACACGGUCCAGACUCCUACGGGAGGCAGCAGUAGGGAAUCUUCCGCAAUGGGCGAAAGCCUGACGGAGCAACGCCGCGUGAGUGAAGAAGGUCUUCGGAUCGUAAAACUCUGUUAUUAGGGAAGAACAAAUGUGUAAGUAACUAUGCACGUCUUGACGGUACCUAAUCAGAAAGCCACGGCUAACUACGUG
rnacentral:rRNA from 1 species